UACGUAGGGGGCGAGCGUUGUCCGGAAUUACUGGGCGUAAAGGGCGCGCAGGCGGCCCGCUAAGUCCGCUGUGAAAGACCGGGGCUCAACCCCGGGUGUCAGCGGAGACUGGUGGGCUAGGGUGUCGGAGAGGAGUGCGGAAUCCCUGGUGUAGCGGUGGAAUGCGUAGAGAUCAGGGGGAACACCGAUGGCGAAGGCAGCACUCUGGCCGGAGACCGACGCUGAGGCGCGAAAGCUGGGGGAGCGAACGGGAUU
rnacentral:rRNA from 1 species